UCGAGAAUCAUUCACAAUGGGGGAAACCCUGAUGGUGCAACGCCGCGUGGAGGAUGACGGCCUUCGGGUUGUAAACUCCUGUCAUCUGGGAGUAAGCCUUGUCCGUUAAUAGCGUGCAAGGUUGAUAGUACCAGAAGAGGAAGGGACGGCUAACUUCGUGCCAGCAGCCGCGGUAAUACGAAGGUCCCAAGCGUUGUUCGGAAUCACUGGGCGUAAAGCGUGCGCAGGCGGCGCGGAAAGUCAGAUGUGAAAUCUCUGGGCUCAACCCGGAAACUGCAUCCGAUACUCCCGCGCUAGAGUAAUGGAGAGGUAGCUGGAAUUCUCGGUGUAGCAGUGAAAUGCGUAGAUAUCGAGAGGAACACUCGUGGCGAAGGCGAGCUACUGGACAUUUACUGACGCUCAGGCACGAAGGCCAGGGGAGCGAAAGGGAUUAGAUACCCCUGUAGUCCUGGCAGUAAACGGUGCGCGCUUGGUGUGGGAGGUACG
rnacentral:rRNA from 1 species